AGUGAACGCUGGCGGUAGGCCUAACACAUGCAAGUCGAACGGCAGCACAGUAAGAGCUUGCUCUUACGGGUGGCGAGUAGCGGACGGGUGAGGAAUACAUCGGAAUCUACUUUUUCGUGGGGGAUAACGUAGGGAAACUUACGCUAAUACCGUAUACGACCUACGGGUGAAAGCAGGGGAUCUUCGGACCUUGCGCGAUUGAAUGAGCCGAUGUCGGAUUAGCUAGUUGGCGGGGUAAAGGCCCACCAAGGCGACGAUCCGUAGCUGGUCUGAGAGGAUGAUCAGCCACACUGGAACUGAGACACGGUCCAGACUCCUACGGGAGGCAGCAGUGGGGAAUAUUGGACAAUGGGCGCAAGCCUGAUCCAGCCAUACCGCGUGGGUGAAGAAGGCCUUCGGGUUGUAAAGCCCUUUUGUUGGGAAAGAAAAGCAGCAGGUUAAUACCCCGCUGUUCUGACGGUACCCAAAGAAUAAGCACCGGCUAACUUCGUG
rnacentral:rRNA from 1 species